UUGAACGCUGGCGGCAGGCCUAACACAUGCAAGUCGAGCGGUAGCACAGAGAGCUUGCUCUCGGGUGACGAGCGGCGGACGGGUGAGUAAUGUCUGGGAAACUGCCUGAUGGAGGGGGAUAACUACUGGAAACGGUAGCUAAUACCGCAUAAUGUCGCAAGACCAAAGUGGGGGACCUUCGGGCCUCAUGCCAUCAGAUGUGCCCAGAUGGGAUUAGCUAGUAGGUGGGGUAACGGCUCACCUAGGCGACGAUCCCUAGCUGGUCUGAGAGGAUGACCAGCCACACUGGAACUGAGACACGGUCCAGACUCCUACGGGAGGCAGCAGUGGGGAAUAUUGCACAAUGGGCGCAAGCCUGAUGCAGCCAUGCCGCGUGUGUGAAGAAGGCCUUCGGGUUGUAAAGCACUUUCAGCGGGGAGGAAGGCGUUAAGGUUAAUAACCUUGGCGAUUGACGUUACCCGCAGAAGAAGCACCGGCUAACUCCGUGCCAGCAGCCGCGGUAAUACGGAGGGUGCAAGCGUUAAUCGGAAUUACUGGGCGUAAAGCGCACGCAGGCGGUCUGUCAAGUCGGAUGUGAAAUCCCCGGGCUCAACCUGGGAACUGCAUUCGAAACUGGCAGGCUAGAGUCUUGUAGAGGGGGGUAGAAUUCCAGGUGUAGCGGUGAAAUGCGUAGAGAUCUGGAGGAAUACCGGUGGCGAAGGCGGCCCCCUGGACAAAGACUGACGCUCAGGUGCGAAAGCGUGGGGAGCAAACAGGAUUAGAUACCCUGGUAGUCCACGCCGUAAACGAUGUCGAUUUGGAGGUUGUGCCCUUGAGGCGUGGCUUCCGGAGCUAACGCGUUAAAUCGACCGCCUGGGGAGUACGGCCGCAAGGUUAAAACUCAAAUGAAUUGACGGGGGCCCGCACAAGCGGUGGAGCAUGUGGUUUAAUUCGAUGCAACGCGAAGAUCCUUACCUGGUCUUGACAUCCACAGAACUUUCCAGAGAUGGAUUGGUGCCUUCGGGAACUGUGAGACAGGUGCUGCAUGGCUGUCGUCAGCUCGUGUUGUGAAAUGUUGGGUUAAGUCCCGCAACGAGCGCAACCCUUAUCCUUUGUUGCCAGCGGUCCGGCCGGGAACUCAAAGGAGACUGCCAGUGAUAAACUGGAGGAAGGUGGGGAUGACGUCAAGUCAUCAUGGCCCUUACGACCAGGGCUACACACGUGCUACAAUGGCAUAUACAAAGAGAAGCGACCUCGCGAGAGCAAGCGGACCUCAUAAAGUAUGUCGUAGUCCGGAUUGGAGUCUGCAACUCGACUCCAUGAAGUCGGAAUCGCUAGUAAUCGUAGAUCAGAAUGCUACGGUGAAUACGUUCCCGGGCCUUGUACACACCGCCCGUCACACCAUGGGAGUGGGUUGCAAAAGAAGUAGGUAGCUUAACCUUCGGGAGGGCGCUUACCACUUUGUGAUUCAUGACUGGGGUG
rnacentral:rRNA from 1 species